CGUAGGUGGCGAGCGUUAUCCGGAUUUACUGGGCGUAAAGGGAGCGUAGGCGGAUGAUUAAGUGGGAUGUGAAAUACCCGGGCUCAACUUGGGUGCUGCAUUCCAAACUGGUUAUCUAGAGUGCAGGAGAGGAGAGUGGAAUUCCUAGUGUAGCGGUGAAAUGCGUAGAGAUUAGGAAGAACACCAGUGGCGAAGGCGACUCUCUGGACUGUAACUGACGCUGAGGCUCGAAAGCGUGGGAGCAAACAGGAUU
rnacentral:rRNA from 1 species